UGGCUACUCUUAUGUCCUUAGAUGAUGAGGCAAAUUGACCAAAGUGCAUUUCUCUUGUCUUAUCAGGAUAGAAUUUCAGGUGUGUGCCUCUGAAAACAAGGAUAUGCACUCCUUCAAGAAGUUGAAUGACUCAUGUCAAACAAAAAAUGGCAGGCUCUGAAGAGGAAAUUUUUUCAUGUAGUCUUCUCUGGAGGCUUAUUUGGGCUAAUCGUUCCAUUAGAUCACGAGGUCAGGGUGAACAGCACUAUACUGAAAGAGUGAAAAACCAAGCAAAUAUAGUCUCAGAGGACAUGGUUUUCAGAGGGGUUGUAAAAUGAUGAGAGAAAAAAGCAAAGUGGGCAAAAGUAGGUAAUAUUUGGGAUAAUACUUAACUUUGUUACCUUGAAAGAAAUGUCAGCACUAUUGGGUAUGACAUAGUGAUUCUAAAAAACAAAACUGAGUGGGAAAAGGUUAAAGGAAGUGAUCAAUUAUAUUAUAAAAAUGGGACAUGAAGAAUUAAAUCAGAGGAAACAGAUUAGGGUGGAGGGCUGGUAUUGUAUUCUUAUUCUCAUUCGGGAUGAAGAGGAAAUAAUGUAUACAUUUGGAAAGGUGUAGGAGUCUUCUGAACAUGUAGAGUGGUAAGACAACUGGGGAAUGGAGGGAAGGGACUUAUAGAGGGGUCUGUAGAUCAGGGUUUGGGAAAGUGGGAAGAUGGAGUGACUUUUGGAGAGAUGGAUAGAUUGAGAUUGGGGGAAGGGGAGAGAAAGGACGGGAAGACUCUUGGAGGGAUGCUUGAAGUGGGAAGGUGGAGGAAGAAAGUAGACAAAAGGGAUAGGUUAAAAAGAGAGUCUGAGAAAGAAAACAGAUGGAGGGAAAUUUACAAAUUGUAAUUAUAAUUUUGAAUGUGAAUGGGAUGUUUAUAGAAGUUCCCUUUGUGGUGGAAAAAUGUGAAAAUUUCAGUGAUCCCUAUCAACUGGGGAAUGGUUGAACAAAUUGUGUUGUAUGGUUUUUAUAGAACACAAUGUCCCACAAGAAAUGAUGAUCUCAAUGAUCUUAGAAAAGCAUGGAAACAUUUUCAUGACAUGAUGAAGAAUGAAGUGAAGAGAAACAGGAGAACAUUGCAUACAAUAACAGCAAUAUUGUUUGAAGAAUGACGGUGCAAUUAUUAUAAAUAUGUAAAUUAAAAAUAAAGAACAUAUGAAGAAAGAUGCUCUUUGUAUCCAGUGAAAGAACUGAUAAAUAGAAGUAAGUAUGGAAUAAUUUUACAAAAUGUAUACCCAUUUGUAUCUAAUGGUAGCAAUCAUUAGGGUGAGAGGGAGGGGAUAAAAAGAAAAUAAGAGCAAUUUAUGUGAUAACUUUGUUGUAUAUUUGGAGGGAAUAGAAUGUUGUACAUAGUAAAUUUGCAGUUUUGUGUGCAAUCAACUUUUUUAUUGUACCAUAU
rnacentral:lncRNA from 1 species